rnacentral:lncRNA from 1 species
UAAUGUUGUUUUCACUUUUUUAUCUUAGAUGUUGUCAAUAGUUCACAUAAACAUCAUCUCAAAGAGUUGAGUUUCUGCUGUUACACCUGCUAUUGCUGUUGUAAGUACUCAAAGUUUUAGGAAGUUAUAUUGCUAAUGUUUUAAUGACAAUGAUGAGGAUUCUUAAAGCUUGCUAAAGGUUAGGCAUAAGUAUUUAUUUAUUGCUCAAAAGAGUUUUUAACUUUAUCCAGAGUUGUUUGUUGCUUGGCCUUAGUUAAAUCACUCAUAUUGAGUAAUAACUUUAAGAUUUAGAGUUGACUCAAAAUGGAAAAGAAAGGAAAGACUGUAUUUUUGUGUAUUUGGAUUGAU